rnacentral:rRNA from 1 species
GGAUUNUAGUUUGCAACCCGACUACAUGAAGCUGGAAUCGCUAGUAAUCGCGGAUCAGAAUGCCGCGGUGAAUACGUUCCCGGGUCUUGUACACACCGCCCGUCACACCAUGGGAGUCGGAAAUGCCCGAAGUCUGUGACCCAACCUUAGGGAGGGAGCAGCCGAAGGCAGGUCGGAUGACUGGGUGAAGUCGUAACAAGGUAAC